rnacentral:rRNA from 1 species
AAUCAACGCUGGCGGCGUGCCUAACACAUGCAAGUCGAACGCGAAAGUCCCGCAAGGGAUCAGUAGAGUGGCAAACGGGUGAGUAACACGUGGGUGACCUGCCUUCGAGUGGGGGAUAACGUCCCGAAAGGGACGCUAAUACCGCAUGACAUCCUGCUCUUGAACGAGUGGAGAUCAAAGCUGGGGAUCGCAAGACCUAGCGCUCAAAGAGGGGCCCGCGCCUGAUUAGCUAGUUGGUGGGGUAACGGCUCACCAAGGCAACGAUCAGUAUCCGGCCUGAGAGGGCGGACGGACACACUGGGACUGAGACACGGCCCAGACUCCUACGGGA